UGGUGUAAAAAAUGUUGAUUCAGAUAUUUAAAGAGAAAGGGAUCUAGCUUAUGUUGAAGGUGAAAAAUGGUCUCACCGCCAAAACCCUAAUCUCAUCGUAUCCGUCGCUGCCACCAUCGCCACCGCCGUCGAGCAAAGGCGCCUCCUCCACUAACUCAUCUCUAGAUCUGGUAGCAAUGCCCAAACCUCUGACAUCUACGCCUUUUUCUGACACCGCCGAUCUUCAGCAACAAGCUGUGACGUCAAUACAAAUCCCAAAAUCACCUCUCAUAUUGCACUCUGUCUCUCCUAACUCGAAGUACGAAUGGCCGAUCAGAAUCCUGCGGAGUCAGAACCGAAAAGCGGCUCCGAUGCGUCUUCUCGGAUCGAGGAAGUGAGUGAGUGGUUGGCAAAGACAUUUGAAGCCACCGGCAAACCCGUUACAGAGUUUGAGUACACGCCUCGCAGCAUCUCGCAUUUGCACGACCUCUUAAUCGUCUCCAAAGCCAAAGACGAAGCUGCGCGUCUCGUCGCUCGUGAUUUCCACCAGAAGGCCUCUGAGUACCGAUCCCAAGAUAAUGGAAUUUGAAUCGGUCCAUUUGUAUUGGUGGGCAUGCUUUUGGUGAUCAGUAUCAGGCCACUGAUACUGUAAUUAAUGGAGCUGGGAAGCUAAAGUUGGUAUUUGGUAUGUUUACCAGAGUUGCAAUCAAAUAGCUUGACAGGAUCACUGGCCAGGGACAAUCUGCGAUAUCGGUAGAAGAUACCUUGAAGAUCAUAAUCUGCAGUACUUGUUCCAUCGUGUGAUUGUUUAGGAAACAACACAAGAAGCUCUAUUCCCUUGAGAUGGAACUUGCUGCUGCUAGGAAUAAGGGUUUUGUUUUGAAGCAACUGCUUGAGACCAAUGGGAUUUACUUUGAAGGAAAGCCUUUGGUCAUGAUAGGUGUAAUCACAACAUUUGGCCGCCAGAAGAAUAGGGACGCCAUUCGCAAUGUCUGGAUGGGAAGUGUGCAUCUUUGAAGAAACUGGAGGAUAGAAGGGCAUUGUUGCACGAUUUGUUAUUGGGAGAAGUGAAAAUUGUGGAAACAAUCAGGAUAAGGACAUUGAUCGUGAGAAUAGGCUAACUAAUGACUUCCUAAUUCUUCCAAUUAACAAACAGAACGAGAGAUUGCUUGAAAUAGAGAUAGAAGAGAGAUCACCACGAAACUCUAAGCUCAUCGUCAUCGGUAUCGCCGCCGCAGUUCCAAAGGCUUCUAGAAUCGAGCAAAGGCUCCUCUUCCGCCUCUGAGAUCGAGAGAAAGCGUAGAUCCGCAUCGCUAUCAUCAUUUGUUCAUCUCAGAUCUAUGUCGCCAAGGUCUUCCAGCCACCGUUGCUUCUCUUGUCGCAACACCACACCUCCGCCGCUUGCACCGCCUCCGUUCUUGCGUGUAGACGCACAAGAUCGUCGCUGCGGUAACUCUCGAAUAUCAACGUUUUCUCCAGGCCAAUUUUACUUGGCUGGAUUUCUUUAAAAAAUUGAAUAGUAGGAGAAACUUGUAAAAGUGGCCAUGCAUCUCACCACAAUAUCACAAUGGUUUCUUAGCUUUUUCUGGCCAGAUUCAUGUGGAUGAUCACUUCUGUUAGAAAUGAUAUCUUCUUGAUUCUAUCAACUUCCAAGUAAAAAUUUGGAAGAAAAUUUAAGAAUGUUUGUGCUGCUUAUGCUGUUUUACUGGGAUUUAUCUUUCUGAAAUCUGAAGUUAUGAUGCAUGUUGGUGGCUUAUGUGACAUUUCUUUCCUAUUUGUAGCCACCGUCGAUUGUUUCAGAUGAGGUUUGCGCUGCAUGUGAUUUCAACCAUCCUGGAAAGACAUGUCUACGCAAACUUGAGUGGGCUUGGGAUGGAGAAACAUUCAUGGCAAAGAAAAGUGACUAUUAUCAUAUAAAGAAGCAGAUUGAGUCUGAUUUUGUUGAUGGUGCUAAUGUAAGGUUAUCAAAAUCUUUUCUUGACCUGUCCAAGACAGAGCAACAAUCAAGGUUGAAAGAUCGUUUAAAGAAAUACUGCCAGAAGAUAUUUGAAAGGAAAUUGACAAUCUCAUGCCCUUGUGUUAUGCUAAAUGUUGAUGUGGCAAUCAAUAAUACAAAUGAUCAGUAUUUGAUAUGGAUAAAUCAAGCGAAGAGGUGAACUGAAACUAAUAAAAGUUUUCCAGGUAAUACUGGUCAAGAUUAUUAGCUUCAAGCACAAAGCAUCAUAGUAUUUGAUAUAGAUAAAUCAUUAGGAUUGAGGAUAUCUGUUCGUGCUUUCAUCUUGAUGGAACACAUAUUCAAGUGAAAGUUGAAAGUAGAAGACAAGUUAUAUUUAUUUUGGCAAUUUAUAUUAAGCCAUUUGCUUAUUUCUAUUCAGCAAUUAAUCUAAGAAUCUAAAAGUUAAAAAUUAUCUCUUUUGCAUCCACCCACAAUAUUUUGCUAGUUUAUUGCUUAGUGAUAAGAAAAAACUCAUCAUCUCUGUAGGGAACACCUGUAAGCGAACGUAUACUAUGAUUAACAAAUAACAAUUUUUAUUGGUAACUAUGAUCUGCCAUCUAUUUAGUGGUUUUUAUUUUAAUUUUUAACUCAAUGUAGCUAAUUUUCUGAAAAAUAAUUUUAUUUUCUUUUUUUUUAAUUCUAAAUUAUGAAAUUCCUACUAUUUGAGCCAGUUUAUCUGGAAAUUGAUAUAAUUGUAUGGAAUUUUGAUGUGAAUAUUUUAUUAUUCAAAAUCUGAUGGUUGGCAAGAUUAGGGAAUAAUUAAUUAGUUGGAGCCAGAUUCUUAGCUUGCUUACAAGCACCAGUGAGGUUUAUGGAGAUCCUCUUCAGCACCCUCAGAAAGAGAUUUACUGGAGCAACGUUGAUGCCAUUGUACAAACAAGUUUUUAAGUUUGUGAGAAGCUUUAAUGUUCUUCAAAAGCAGUAAUAUUACAGUUAGGAUUUUCGCUCAUCAGAUUUGCACUCCUGCUCCUGGCACCAGUGUUCAUUAUACUAGGAAGUUUUAUGAAAACUUGGUACCAAGUUACACGGUAUACAAGGUCAAAUGCCCAGACCAUUUGAGUUUUUCUUCAACAAUUCAAAAAAUUGUCACAAUUCCCGCUGCCAUGCAAAAGCUCAUCCAGAUUGGUUGCAUAAGAAAGUUCGUGAAAAAGAGGACAAUUUUAGUCAUUGAAAAUUAGUUAAUGUCUUUAACUCAUUUAAAAGGGAUGAUCACUCAAAAGGGAAUAGUGAUUCUAAUGGUGUCAGCCUUAUGGCUGAUGAAGAGACUGUGAGUGAUUGGAGGAUUUUGGAAACAAGGCCAGAAAUUUGCCAAUUGGUCCUAGACCAAUUAUACGACAUUAUAAAGCUAAUAAUGAAGGGAAUUCAAUUAAGCUCAGUGGUCAUGGAAAUUCUCAGCAACAACAUUGAUAAUAGUAGCAAGGACGAGUCACUUUCACUUAUUCAACAAAAGAAAAUAUCAUCUGAAAAUGUUGACAUAAAUGUUGAUUAUCAAGGAUGGCUUGAAAUAAAGAAGAGAAAGUGGAAAAGUAUCCUGGAAAAGAGAAAAAAAGUGAAGGUAAAGUUCUCAUUGCAAUCUUAGUAUUGAAAUCCAUUUAUAUCAAUAUCUAUGAUUGUAUUUUGGAGUGAUUCUUCUAAGAUCAAGCACCAGAAGUUAAUGAUGUUUGGAUCUUCUACCGAAAA